rnacentral:lncRNA from 1 species
GACUUCCAGGGGAGACAUCAAAAUGGACAUAAUCCCACUUACCUGAAAUAAGACAUGAAUGUAACUGCUACUAUUUGUGCAGAGGUCCUCCUGGCAAUACUGCAGGCCCAUCUGGGCAGCGUUCAAAGAAACGAGGGCUAAUGGCUGGCAUGUAGGAAUCAGCUCCUCAGAGCAAUCAUGAGCAUAAGGGAGAAGAAUGCUACCAGCCUGGUACUACUACUUUACCUUCUUGGCUUGGGAUUUGGAGAGACCAUGCAAGCAGGCUGGAGCGCGAUCUUG